rnacentral:lncRNA from 1 species
AAAAAACCUAAAGAAACUAAUUUUAUAUUCCACAGAGCUGCCCAGGCCCCCUCGGCGGGCGCCUAGCGCCUAGCCCGAUUUGUCAAAAAUUUCCUUGUGAUUCUUUAUGUUAUCGGCUUGAUCUUGCCUCUUCUGUUGCCUGCGUCAAUUCUGGUCAAGCAUGGAAUUGAAAAUUAUCGUUGAUGUUGUCUGCUAAAGAACAAAUAACAUGUGAAGAUCACCUGUUAGACCCUUUUGUUGAGAAUUUCAUACUGGAAAUCAAAGUCCACUUCCGGUAAGUCCUCAAAAUCCUCAAAAUAAUCUUGUUCUGGUCUAUUUCUUUGGUUGUUUUUACAAGGAAAACUGUAUCUUAUUCAAAACAUAGAAAGCAAACCUACAUGAAAGAUGGGCUAGAAAGAAAACAGAGAAAGGAAAACUAUUUCUUUGUUCUUUUCGUCUUCAAAAAUAUCUUGUAGAAAACCAUCAAAAUCAGACCAACAAUCAUGACACGACAUAUGAAAUCAGAUUACAUUCAGCCCAAAACUGUGUCCAAUCAAUGUGAGUUACACCAAAGUAGUCUUUGGAAUGCUUUAACAAACACGGCCCAAGAGAGGCUAAUAUAAUAUGUCUGUUAGUUUUGAUACGUUAAUAUAAUAUACUAUCAUAUUGUGUUGUAACUCGCAAGUUUGUGGGAGUCUUUUUUGUUGUGUGCGUGUGCGUGUGCGGGGGGCGGGGAGGUGGAGGGGAAUGAAAUGGAAGAAGGCCAAUGCAUUAUGCAUCCAAGGGAGAAUUAUGGCCCAAUCCCAAAAAUGGAUUUCUCCAACCCUUAAAUUAGAUCUGCAAACGAAUUUUGCACUCAAUGUGUUUCAUAUUUUUGUCAUUUUGGGAUUUGACAUGCUUUUCUUCACAUGUUGAUGGUUUCCCGUUUCUCUGUUCUAUUUUAUUUUAUGGUAAGAUGCAGCAUAUUGAGCUUAUGCACAUGUGCUAUGCUCUGGAUUCAGAUGUUCUUGCGGUUGGAGUGAUGAAGGACUAUGACUGGUGAAGUUUCAUGUUUUCCUUUGAAAUGUAAAUGCUCUCAAUAUAUUUGUGAUAUAUAUAAUCAGUUUUAUUAGUUUGCUGCAUAUUUUUUCCUGUUCUUCAUUGUAAUUAUUUUAUAAUGCUUCUGUAAUGAUGCAGAUAAUGAUGGUGAAUGUCAUAAGUUCGCUUUUAAAUAUGGAUGAUCUUUCUCUCAAUUUGGCUCAUUGCGCCUCACCUUGGAGCUAUUCUGAAUCACAUUACACAUGUGCUUCGGAGCAAACUGAUCUAACACAUGAAGAGGGAAACAAAUUAGUUGUAUCUUUCACGAGGAACUACCUGAUAUAUUGCAUCGUUGUCUUCCUUCAUCUAUAAGUUUAUAACUGAACCAGAUCAAUUGGUUCUUGUGCAUGAAUUGCUUUUUGGAUAUUGGUUAUAGAUCACUGGUUUGCAAAUGGUAGUUUAUUUAUAAACUAUAAUGAUCACCCAGGCCAAACAAAAUAUGAUGACCUCAUUAUUCCGAAUGACAGAAAUAGAUGCUGAUAUUUGAAGAUGAUAGUACAUAAUCAGUUAAUAUGAAAGUGCUGACAACUCAAGUACUUGUCGCAGUUUGGGGGUUGAGGGAGUACUAACCAGGGGAGUUGAGGAGCACUAGCUAGGGGUGUCUCUUCGCAUAGCAGCUGAUCGCCAAGACUUGCGGA